GAGAGAAUAGGGUUUUUGAAGAAGAAGAUGAGACCGGUUUAUAUAAUACGAAGGGGAGGGCAAUUUGAGCAGGGCCGGCCUUGGCCAUUGCCUUCACCUCAAAUUUCAAGGGCCUCAUAAGAAAAAUGAGCCCAAAAAAAAUUUUCCCCAAUCCAAAACCCCUUAAAUCCCUAAAAAAAAAUAAUACAUGCUUAAAAGACAGGAAAUGGACGGUCUUUCUUUUUCUCUCUUCACCAAAAAAAUUAUCAAUUCCCAAUAUCCCACCCACAAUUGCUGCAUCUCGAUUCUCUUGAAGGUUUCCAAAAAUCUCAAAAAUCUCAAGAUUUUAGGCAAGAAUAUUGGAAUUGGAGUUAGGGGAGAAGGGUCCAGAUGAAGAGAACGACCAGCUGUUGAAAGAGAAGGUAGUUUCGAUUAAGAAGGUUGUUGCUGAAAAACAAUAGCUGAGGAUUUUUCUCUAUAUUGGAGUAUUGGAGAACGAUUUGGCAGAAUAUAGGCCAUAAUUUUUUGCUUUUUGGUGUUCAAUAUUUGGCUACAGUAGAGUGAUUAUUUUGAUUUUGAGUUGUUGAAGUAAAAUCUAAAACGUGGGUUCUUGGUUUUUGAGUGGUUUUGGACAUGGCCAAGAUACCAGCUAUUGAAAGAGAAGGUAGUUACGGUUGA